CUUAGCCCAGAGGAGAAGUCACAGAAAAAAAAAGAGGCUUAAAUCAACUCUGAGCAAAAAGAGGGAGGGCAAAAGGAGGGAGGGAGAAAACGCCCUGGAAAUCUGGUGGAUAGAGAACUAGGAAAACAGCAAGACUCCUGACAGACUGCAAACUUGUGACAGUGUGAACGUACACUUCUUGGGCUGGGGUGCAGGGGAAAAGACGUUUCCAAGGAUGCUCAAGUCGAUGUGAGGCUUCUUGGGCGCAAAGAUUGCGCACAGAAGUCGAGAAUCAAGAACACAAGUAGCAGACUGAAGCCCUUGGCUUUGCUUGAGCAAUCCAAGG